rnacentral:rRNA from 1 species
UGGGGAAUUUUACGCAAUGGGGGAAACCCUGACGUAGCGACACCGCGUGAGCGAAGAAGCCUUUUGGGGUGUAAAGCUCUGUCAGCUGGAACGAACACAAUGACGGUACCAGCAGAGGAAGCAUCGGCUAACUACGUGCCAGCAGCCGCGGUAAGACGUAGGAUGCAAGCGUUGUCCGGAUUCAUUGGGCGUAAAGAGUUCGUAGGUGGUCUGUUAAGUUUGGUGUUAAAGAGCGGGGCCCAACCCCGAUAGUGCACUGAAUACUGGCAGACUUGAGUGCGGUAGAGGUAAGUGGAAUUCCAAGUGUAGCGGUGAAAUGCAUAGAUAUUUGGAAGAACACCGGUGGCGUAAGCGACUUACUGGGCCGUAACUGACACUGAGGAACGAAAGCCGGGGUA